GGACGAACGCUGGCGGCGUGCUUAACACAUGCAAGUCGAACGGAAAGGCCCUGCUUUUGUGGGGUGCUCGAGUGGCGAACGGGUGAGUAACACGUGAGUAACCUGCCCUUGACUUUGGGAUAACUUCAGGAAACUGGGGCUAAUACCGGAUAGGAGCUCCUGCUGCAUGGUGGGGGCUGGAAAGUUUCGGCGGUUGGGGAUGGACUCGCGGCUUAUCAGCUUGUUGGUGGGGUAGUGGCUUACCAAGGCUUUGACGGGUAGCCGGCCUGAGAGGGUGACCGGCCACAUUGGGACUGAGAUACGGCCCAGACUCCUACGGGAGGCAGCAGUGGGGAAUAUUGCACAAUGGGCGGAAGCCUGAUGCAGCAACGCCGCGUGCGGGAUGACGGCCUUCGGGUUGUAAACCGCUUUCGCCUGUGACGAAGCGUGAGUGACGGUAAUGGGUAAAGAAGCACCGGCUAACUACGUG
rnacentral:rRNA from 1 species